rnacentral:SRP_RNA from 1 species
GCCAGGGGUGGUGGUGCGCACCUGUCAUCCCAGCUACUCAGGAGGCUGAGGUGGGAGAAUCGCUUGAGCCCAGGAAGCAGAAGUUGCAGUGAGCUGAGAUGGAGCCACUGCACUCCAGCCUGGGCAACAGAGCAAGACUCCAUCUCAA